UUUAAAGUCUAAUCUGCCCUAUGAGGAAUUAAAUGGCCGCGGUACUUUGACCGUGCAAAGGUAGCAUAAUAAUUAGUUUUUUAAUUGAAAGCUGGAAUGAAUGAUUGGACGAGAAAAUUUCUGUCUCAAAUUAAUUUAAUUAGAAUUUUAUUUUUAAGUUAAAAAGCUUAAAUAUUUUUAGAAGACGAGAAGACCCUAUAGAGUUUUAUAUAUUUAAUUAUAUUUAAAUUUUUAGAAUUUUAUUUUUGUUAUAUUUAAAUAUAUUUUGUUGGGGUGAUAGAAAAAUUAAAUUAACUUUUUUUAUAUUUUUACAUUGAUAUAUGAUUAAAUGAUCCAUUUUUUAUGAUUAUAAGAUUAAAUUACCUUAGGGAUAACAGCGUAAUUAUUUUUUAGAGUUCUUAUCGAAAAAAUAGAUUGCGACCUCGAUGUUGGAUUAAAAUAAACGUUUGGUGUAGGGGCUAAAUGGUUAGGUCUGUUCGACCUUUAAAAUUUUACAUGAUCUGAGUUUAAACCGGCGUGAGCCAGGUUGGUUUCUAUCUUUAAAUUAAUAAAAUAUUUUAGUACGAAAGGACCAAGUAUUUAGUAAAUUAUUUUAUUUUUGAUUAUUAUUA
rnacentral:rRNA from 1 species